rnacentral:tRNA from 1 species
GCCCUGGUGAUUCAGUGGCAGAAUUCUCGCCUUCCAUUCCGGAGACCUGGGUUUGACUCCCAGUGAGCGCA